AGAGAAAGAAAAGCACAACAAACCUGUUAUUUAUCUUUUAUUGUUUUUAUUGUUUAGUAAUUGCAGGUUCAUCAGUCAGGUGGUCAGCACCCAAACUAAAACCAUGCGUCAUGGUGGCCAGGAAUUGCAUCCCAGCAGCACAGAUGGGGGAGCCAACAUGAAGAGGUGUCCAGAGAGGCUUCUUCCUCUUUGGCUUUGCAGCAGCACCAGGACCUCACCAUCAGUGAUGCUGUUCAUCCAUCGGGCCUACCCUUACAUUCCUCCCCUGAUGCACUGAUCACCUGUACCAGUUGUUGGAGUUUUCAGAAGGGCUCUAAAUUAAAAAAAAAUUAUUCACUAGUAGCCAAAAUGGCUAGUAUGUUAAUCUCCAAACAUACCGGUACAUUAAAUAAUGGGUCAAAGUGCCAAGUAUGUUUUCUUUUCUACCAGCAAAACUUAAUUUUCCCCAGCAUUUGGCUGGUGAGCCCUGGUUGUCAUUGAUGGUGAGUAGCUGUGAUAAUAAAUAACUGAAAUGAUGAAGUCCAUCCA